rnacentral:lncRNA from 1 species
CUCCCCAGCCUCCCCGACUCCACCGACCAACCCGCUGUCGUCCGAGCCGCCCCGGGCCGACAGCAGCCACCUCAUGCGGGUGUGAGCCUGUGACCUCAAGCCCUGGCAGCUGCUGGCGCCACCAAGUUCCACGGGGCCACGUUUUAGGCCCCUCCUGAGGUGACACCGAAGCUCUCGCCACCGUCCUCGGUUCUCCCGGACCCCCUUCCCUCCCUCCGGCGGCGACAGCAGCGGGAGAGGUGGCACCGACGGGAGGCACGUCCCAAGGAGACGGGCAGGGGGCUGGCAUUGUCCCCAAGGAGCCACCAGGGCUGUCAGUGGACAUAGGGACACACCCAGACAGUGGCCACAGGGACACAGCUGUGACAGUGGCCACAGGGACACAACCGGACAGCUGUGACAGUGGCCAUAGGGACGCAGCUGUGACAGCGGCCACCAGGAUACACCUGGACAGCUGUGACAGUGGCCAUCGACCCCUGGUGAGCACAGGACUCCUGGGAUGGCCCCCAAGGUCUGUGAAGGGGCUCUUGGGGUGGGGACCCGCCUGUCCCCACCACGGAUGGUGCUGCCACCUCCCAGCGGACCUGGCUGCUCCCUCUGGGCUCCUCGGGCGCCGUUUCUGCUCCCUCAGCUCUGACCCUGAUUUUGGAGCCCAUCUGUGUCACCCCCGGUGGCUCAGCUGGAGGGAGAGGGGACAGGACAGAUGGAGGUGGCACUGGGGGACACGGAGGUGCCCGGGGCGCUCCAAGCUCGGAGCAGGAGCUCUGGGGGCAGAGCAGGGAAUUGGGGUGCCAGGUGGGAUAAUGGAGCUGUGGGGUCAGCAGGGACCCCUCUGGAGGGUGGGGACGGUGCUGAGGAGGGGUUUGGGGACAGAGGUGUCACCUGCUGUCACCCUCCAAAAAUCCCUUCCAGCAGCUCUCCAGCCCCUUCCAGCGGUUCAGAUUUCCUGUAGCAAAUUCCCCCUUUUCUUUAUCAUCCCAGAGAGUGGGAAAGAAGCAGAAUCCCUGGAAGGAUGUGAGCAUGGCAGGGGCCAGGAGCUGGAUCUCAAAUCCCAAAUCUCCAACCCCAAAUCCCAAUCCAUCCCUCCUGGCCCCAUCCCAAACCCCCAGGACCCUCCCUGCAUCCCAAUCCCAACUUAG